rnacentral:rRNA from 1 species
AGAGUUUGAUCCUGGCUCAGGAUGAACGCUAGCGGCAGGCUUAAUACAUGCAAGUCGAGGGGCAGCACGGGUAGCAAUACCUGGUGGCGACCGGCAAACGGGUGCGGAACACGUACACAACUUUCCUUUAAGUGGGGGAUAGCCCAGAGAAAUUUGGAUUAAUACCCCGUAAUAUUAUGAAGUGGCAUCAUUUUAUAAUUAUAGCUCCGGCGCUUGAAGAUGGGUGUGCGGCUGAUUAGGUAGUUGGCGGGGUAACGGCCCACCAAGCCUGCGAUCAGUAACUGGUGUGAGAGCACGACCAGUCACACGGGCACUGAGACACGGGCCCGACUCCUACGGGAGGCAGCAGUAAGGAAUAUUGGUCAAUGGACGCAAGUCUGAACCAGCCAUGCCGCGUGAGUGAAGAAGGCCUUCGGGUUGUAAAGCUCUUUUGUCAGGGNAAGAAACGGACUUUUCUAAUACAGAGGUCUAAUGACGGUACCUGAAGAAUAAGCACCGGCUAACUACGUGCCAGCAGCCGCGGUAAUACGUAGGGUGCAAGCGUUAAUCGGAAUUACUGGGCGUAAAGCGUGCGCAGGCGGUUUUGUAAGUCUGUUGUGAAAUCCCCGGGCUCAACCUGGGAAUGGCAAUGGAGACUGCAAGGCUANAGUUUGGCAGAGGGGGGUAGAAUUCCACGUGUAGCAGUGAAAUGCGUAGAUAUGUGGAGGAACACCGAUGGCGAAGG